rnacentral:lncRNA from 1 species
UUAUACUAUUUCGAAAUUCAAACCCUAAACUCUAAAACUCAACUCUAAACCCUAAACUAUCGUUUCUAAACCUUUUUUUUUAAAAUACGAACCCUAAACCCUAAACCAUCAAUCCUAAACCCUUUUUUUUUUAAAUACGAACCUUAAACCCUGAAACAUCAACUCUAAACCCUAAACCCGGAAACAUCAACUCUAAAUCCUAAACCCUAAAACUUCAACUCUAAACCCUAAACCAUCAACACUAAACCCUAAACUAUCAACACUAAACCCUAAACCCUAAAAAGUAAACUCUAAACCCUAAACCCUAAAAAAUUAACCCUAAACCCUAAAACAUCAACUCUAAACUCUAAACCCUAAACCUUCAACUCUAAACCCUAAACCCU